CUCCCCUGUCACACGCCCUGUGAGGGGGACAAGGGAACUUUUCCUGUUUCACUACUAUGCGGCUGGAGCCCAAAAGCACUCAUCCCAGCUCCUGCACCUGUCUGUCUGCAUGUUUCCCCCUCUUGUAAGGGGUUUGAGUACAUGGUGGCCAAGCAAACAGGCCACACCCUUGUUGCAAGUCCCGCGAGAGGUUCAGAGAACUCUCCCGUUUCACUCCUGCCUCAGGCCUCAGCCACCACAGUAAGUGGAACUCUAUACCUCCACCUCGCCUGGCUGGGUGGAGCCUCUAAACUCAGGAUUCUGCCUUGAGCUGUGGCUCUCCCCUCAGGUUGACAGGGUCCAGAGCAAAACCUACGGAAGAAGCUGCAGAGGCCAGGUGGAGGGAAGGAUGCUGAACUGGAGGAGGCCAGGAAAUUAUGAGGUACACCAAUCAAACAUAGUGUGUCCAGAAUUUGUGGGUUCUUGGUCUCACUGACUUCAAGAACGAAGCUGCGGACCCUCACGGUGAUUCUAAGCACAUUAAAAUCUGGAUGACACUUAUCUGAAUCAUUUCGCAACUUGGAGAGAGAUGGAGAAGACACGCAUGGUGUAACUGGGCAUCACCAGAAUGUGCACUGCCAUCUGUGGCUGUCUUCCUGCUGGCAAAUCCUUUUCAUUCCAAGCAAAUAAGAUUCCCUAAAUUAGACAAAAAGGAAGAAACACAACAGAGUCCAUAAUUCUGAGAGGAAGAGAAGAGUGAUCAUCAGCAGCAAAAGGCAAUUGCAGAGAAGCACCACCAAGAGCCAGCUUCAUGCUCAGGAGUGAAUGCUGAGCCGCCUCCUCGUGGUUUCCGGUGCUCCACAUGUUCAGAGAAACUUCUCUGCUUAAUUUGCAGGCCCCCAGGUACUGAACUUAAGAGGACAGAGGAAAAGUUUUUCCUCCCUGACACUGAGCAACCAGAGGCUGCUGUUAAGUAACCUUCCCUCAUUUCUACGUCUGUCCUCUGCCCCUUCCAGCCCCUCAACCCACAUUGUCUCUCAUGUUCCUAUUCACCUAAAAGAGGAAAAUCAUAUUAUUUCAAUAAACCUCUGCCUUAUAGUUUGUAAACUGUUUUCUGUUGUUUUUUUGUUUUGUUUUGAGACAGAGUCUUGCAGUGGCACCAUCUCAGCUCAGUGCAACCUCUGCCUCCCAAGUUCAAGCGAUUCUCCUGCCUCAGCCUCCUGAGGAGCUGGGAUUACAGGCGUGCGCCACCACGCCCAGCUAAUUUUUGUAUUUUUAGUAGAGACGGGCUUUCACCGUGUUGGUCAGGCUGGUCUCGAACUCCUGACCUCAUGAUCCACCCACCUCAGCCUCCCAAAAUGCUGGGAUUACAGAUGUGAGCCACCGAGCCCGGUCAACUGUUUUCUGUCCUUGUAAUUGGUAUAAUGACAAUUGCAUUAAUACUUCAUCUGCUGGACACUGGGUAAGAACUCUCCAAGUGUAAGUGGAAAUUUUUCUGCAAAUGGAUCUCAUGUUACAUAGCACAGGCCUACCAUAAUAUCAGAAUUACAGAAUUUGGAUUUGAACAUCAAAUACAGAUAUGUUCCCUAUAUACAUUUUCAUAAAUCAAUCAAAAGAAUCCUGUAAUCCUAGCACUCUGUAAUCCUAGCACUUUGGGAGGCCUAGGCGGGUGGAUCACCUGAGGUUAGGAGUCCAAGACCAGUUUGGCCAACAUGGUGAAAUCCUGUCUCUACAAAAAUUAAGUGGGCAUGAUGGCGGGUGCCUGUAAUCCCAGCUACUCAGGAGGCUGAGGCAGGAGAAUCGCUUAAACCCAGGAGGCAGAGGUUGCAAUGGUGCCAUUGUACUCCAGCAUGGGCAACUGAGUGAGACUCUGUCUGUCUCCAAAAAAAAAAAAAAAAAAAAAAAACCUGUCACACUCAAAGCAUGAUUUUUUUAAAGUAAAGGAACAAAAACUCUUUGGUCCCUACAGUCAUAUCUCACAGAUCUUAACAAACAAGUUCCUAAUUAAGUAAUAAUACAUAAAACUCAUAUUGGCCCAAGGUAGGAUCUAGAUGUUUUAGAAACUAGUCUAUUGGCCCUGACUCAGACCACAGGUGCUCACAGCCUCAGGCAGUGGGUCCCUUUGACAGCGGAAGGACUCCUGCCUUGCAAAGAUCAUUCACGGUAUUUGUCUACUCGGGCAUUUGGAGGAAUUUAUCUGAGAGAUCUCUGUUCCUCUGUGGCCCUGACAUGUCUUUUCUCCUCUUGUAUUUUCACUCUUACUUUUCUUCUUUCAGCAUUAGGAAUGCUUUCCUUUGUUCAAGCCAGCCCACUGUGUAAUCUUAACAACAUUCAUAAAAGGGAAUUCUUCAUACGUGCCCUUAGCUCACAGCGCCCCGCGUCAAGUUCUAGGAAUCCAUGUGUGAGGAACAAAGAGGAUUGUUUCGUCUGUAAAUGGGUUAUUCUGACAACAGGGCAAUUUUGGCUUCUCUCUAAGCUUCACAAAGCUUUGCAGCACAGCCCUGGCAAGGAAUCACAAUGACAAUGGCUGCACUGAAGCCACACACUCCAUGUGCAGGGCCGGAACAUGAUUAAAGCAAUCAAAUGCACGAGGUUUAGAGAAUGAACUGUUACAAAUUACAAGUUUGCAGGGGGAGAGGAUUUGGAAGUCUUUACUCAAGGUUCAAGCAUUAUAGCAAAUUGUGUCUAAUAUAAUAAUAUUAGAUUAUUAAUAUUAUUGUAGCUAAACUUUAACGCUUGUGAUAAAACACGUCAGAUUUAAACACAUCACUUUAAAUAGAAUUCCAAGGGUUAGGUCUUAUCUCCAUUUAGGAAGUGGGGAAACUGAGGAAUGAGGUUAUGAAAACUGCCUAAGGUUAAUCUGCUGGUGAGAGGCAGUGAUGGUGCUGGAAUCCAGGCCUCCUAGCUGUUGCUUCCUGCCUCAUCUUCUUCCUCUUUUUAGCUUCAGCAACAUCACAUGUUGCCUGGAGACCCACUGAAUGUUGGAUUCGGAGGUCACUUAGAGGUUACACUCCCCUCCCCUUCUUCACCUUAUGGGUGAAAAAGCAGAGGCUUGGGCAGGUCACUUGAGUUGCCCAAGGCCAAUUUAGGUGGAGCUAGGAGUACGACCUAAGUCUCCUGAGAUACAGCUUAAUAGGCUGUCUCCCACCCAGGGUUAUGUGUAUACUCUUUUCAUCCAAUUAAUUUUUCAGCCAACAGCUACAUCCUUUCAUUUGAGCCCUGUGCUUUCAAAUUACAUGUCUUCCCACUCAAAGAAGUGGGACUAAAUCCACAGAGUUUUGCAAGCUUAAAGGCACCUCUUAAAGAUCUGGAAGCCACCAGUAUUAUUCAUAUAAAUACAGAGCCAGGAGACGGAUCUCUAUAUUGCUUUAGGUAAAUCUCUUCUUAAAUUAAAACACAGAUUAUGUUACAGCAAGUCAUUAAGAGUCAUAAGAGGCAAAAGUGAGACAGUGAAUUGAUCAAAUCACCCACAGUCAUGGCGCAGACAUCAGUUUAGGCAAGUCAUCAUUUAACCUAAUUGAAGAGUUAAUACUUCCUACAUUCUUUACCUUCAACUUAUUUAUUUCUGGCCCUGAGUAUUUCAGAUGUGCUAAGUGCUGCCCUGAGAACUCCGUACUCACAACGUUCCUUUGCCCUUUCUUAAUCCUCCAAUGACAUUACCAGUGAGGUUCUGUUAUUAAAUCCAUUCCAUAGUCCCAAGAGACUGAGGUUUAAAGAAAUGAAGCAACCUGCCUGAGGUUGCUGAAGACUUUACCUGAAUCCAGGUGAUCCAGGUGCCAGGGGUCGGUGGCGGACGACAUGGGGGAGAGGGUCAGCGGCGAGGCC
rnacentral:lncRNA from 1 species